GACGAACCGUGCGAACGUUGUUCGGAAUCACUGGGCUUAAAGGGCGCGUAGGCGGGCGACCAAGUCAGGGGUGAAAUCUUUCGGCUUAACCGGAAAAUAGCCUCUGAUACUGGUUGUCUUGAGGGAGGUAGGGGUCUGUGGAACUUCUGGUGGAGCGGUGAAAUGCGUAGAUAUCAGAAGGAACGCCGGUGGCGAAAGCGACGGACUGGACCUCAUCUGACGCUGAGGCGCGAAAGCUAGGGGAGCAAACGGG
rnacentral:rRNA from 2 species